UGGGCCCUGUAUUCAGAAGUCAUUCAUUGAGACCCUGGCUUGUAGCUGUGUGGACCCCAUACUCUCUUCCUAUCCCAAACCUUCCUAUUCCACCAGGGUGCCCUUCUACAAGGGCCAGGACCUCCUCCAGGCCACAGCAGUCACCUGGAUGAUGAGGGCUCCAGGAGGCACCCUCAACCCUGGAAUUCUCUUUUUCAAAUAAGAGAUCCAGGUGAGAACCGUGAGGAUGGGCACUUGGACAGGAAGAGGUUGCUUUGGCCCGAGCAGCAACAACGUUGGUCACUCAAGCCUUCACCAGGUUCUGCUCCACACAGAAGGAAGGAAAGCCCAUCUCAUCAGGCCUUGGGCACCAACAACACAAAUAGUU
rnacentral:lncRNA from 1 species